CAUGUUUGGGGUUUGGAAAAGAAGAUUUCCUUGUCUAAAUUUCGGAAUACGAAUGAAACUGCAGUGAACACUUGUGGUAAUUUCUGCAGCAGCUGUUCUAUACCAGCUAUUAAAAUUGUGGAAUGUACCUGAACCAGAAUACGAGGGGGACAACGAAGACGACAACAACGACGACAACGAUGACGACGCUCGUCAUCUUUACUUACCACCGCUGGGUGAAGCUGUAAAUAGACGGGCAGACAUUCGUGGACAAACAAGAAGACGUGCUAUUGUGGAGGAUUGCUUUACUAAUUGACAAGCUUAACAAGAUUUGUCACGAGAAACACACCUCACGGUUGAUGUAGAUGGUUGUGGUUGUUGUUUUGCAGUGGCUUCUGACGUAUUUGAUGUAUUGGUUUCGACAUUUUCGGUGAUUUCCGAGUGUACAAAGGUUGAUGCAGGUGUUUCAUGAGUGAUGGCCAUCUGAACAUUUGCAGUGACAUCUACAACAUACAUGUACAUUUAUUACUGUAUAAUUAGUUUAUAAAUAUUGUAUUAUUUGUUUAAUUUUAUAUGUUAAUGGUAAAAAUAAAUGUGUGUAUUAUGGUGAA